GCCCUGCCUAGCAUGUGUGAUAAUGAAGCCUCUUGUGUUAGCAAUAUUGUUAUUGUCACUAUCCCAGGCUCAGUUUCAGAAUGCUCCAAUAUGGUUGUGUUGCACCUCUGAAUAUUUGCUGGUUAUGGUGGACAGAAAUUUUUUUCGCGAUGAUAUACUUCUAUAUCCUCACCAGGUGGUUCUGGGAAAUAACUGCCACGUAAAUAGUCUUACUUUACAUCGAUUAUACCUGAUAUAUGGAAUAUGGCAAUGUGGGAUAGUUGUUCAGGCAACACCCGAUGAGAUAAAGAUCAGCACUUUUGUGUAUGUGAUCAGAGAAGAUUUGCUUUCUACCCCUCUAAUCAUACCUGUGGUUUGUAAGGUUCCUAGGGGAAAGGCUACCAAACGGCUACAUUUUUACCCAAGUUCUGGUGUAACAAGAAAGAUUACUGCUUGGGAGUCUGUGUUUUCUCAAACAUCUGCUUCUGGGGCUGAUGAUACUAAUUAUCUGUUAUGAUUAUCAAGAGCUGGACCUUGGUUUCUGCCAAAAUCUUUUGCCCUUGAGUUCUAGUCUCUGACCUCUGCCAUGCUAGAGGGAAAGGGGACCAGCUUUUUACCAGUUCACCAGGAUGCUGGCUCAGAGCUACUUUAAGACUGUCAUGAAGCAAAGGCACCUCUCAUCAAGAGGAUUUUUAGAAAGUUGUGAUAAUGUCUACCAAGAAUCUGAAUUUUUUUUUUUACUAUUUUGGUUUUAAAAUGAAUGUUUUUUUAAAUAAACAGAAUUGAUAUUGCCUUUUAAUUUUUAGUUUUAUUUUU